CAGAAAUGUAGUUGGGGUUUUAAAUUGUUCUGUUUCUGAAGGAUUCAAGUCAUGUAUGUGAAAUAGUUCAAGCUUCCACUAUGGAAGAUGAUUAUCUUUCACAUGUUCUUUAUGCUGUGCUUCAUGAAAAACUUGUUUCAUUGUUGGACUGUGUUGAACUCCUACUGGAAAAUUUCCUGCUCCUCAUUUUCUGGCCUGAUCCAGCUGACUUUUAAGCUAAAAGAGAUUUGUUAGAUUUAAUAGGAAAAUCCCAUUCCUCUGCUCUGAAAAAAUUCUGUUUUCUUCUUAUUCUGUAAGUGAACAAGGUAGAGCUGCAUGAAGAAUCCGCCCCUUUGCCAGAAAAAAGCACCUGGAGCAUCACUGCAGUGCAGGGACCAGGUCUGGAAUUAAUUCACCCACCAUAAAAGAAUUUAGUCAUACUCUGUCUCCUGUGCUUAAAAGGACUCUUCCAGGGGCUUCUGGAUGCCCUGGAGGAAGCUGGGAGACACCAUGAAGACUGCUACCAAACCUGCCUGGGGAAGUGGCAAGAACAGGCUUGAGGCUAUGCUUCCUCCAAGGCUGCAUGACUGGCUGUGACCCUGUCUCCUGAAAACCUGAUCUAGUCACAUCAGCCUUGUGAAGGCAGUGUUGAAGGAUGUGUUUGUUGUCACAGCCUGUGUGAUUUUCACAAGCUGUUCAAAUCACAGUGUCCAUUGUCGGUGGGAGAGGUGCUGGGAAAGAGGGGGAGGAAGGUUGUGUUAAAGAAAAGCUUGGAAACCUAUGUUUUUUUUCUGUCAGCUGGAAGUUUUCUUCUGUGUUCAAAAAUAGGAAAUAUUUUCUUUUCUUUGAUUUUUUGAAGGAUAAGUUGUUGCUGAAGAAAAAAAAACCAAACAAAACAACCAUGAAAUCUGUAAGACCAGUAUCCUGGUUUCUGUGAAAAAUGGAAAUAAAACCCCAUCAUUCUGCCAAAUCAAUGUUUUCAAAAGCCAUUACCAGACCAAUAAUUCAGUAGGAAGCAGUAUGAGCUCUCUGCAUCCUCCCACUGCCACCCCAGGGAGAGAGCCCAGGAAAACACAGGCACAAGGAUCUCUGGAACCUGGAUCUUGCUCAUAGCUCUCUAAGGCACCAUUUCCUGCUGUCUCUUGGCCUGCGGACGUCUACCUGAUGAGGUUCUCAGACACUGCUUCUCUGUUUAGAUAGAUUGAAUCUUUCUUUUUUUUUUUUUUAUUUAUUUGGGUGACACUUUCAACCUCAGCUGAGCUCUUCCAGGAAGGGCCCUUCCAUAGCUGUGUCUCUGUGCAUAGCUGGAAAUGAGUGUGAAACCUUCCAGGGACCAGAGAGCUGUUCUCCAGCACAGUGAAAUACUUUUUUAUCUAUUGUAAGCUGAGUAGAUGGGAGAGCCAAUGGAAUGUUCCUUGGCUCUCCCCCAAAGCAAACUGGGGAGGCCCAAACAGCUCCACAGAUAAUUGGGGAUUCAAUCUUACCCUACAAUUUGCUGAUGUAUUGAGACUUCUGCUUUUCAAAGUCUGUUGUCUACUCCACAGAGUACAGAUACACAUUUCCUUCUCCACACUGAGCAAUUCGUAGGUUCCACUGUAGGAUUAGUGUAAAUUAUCCCUUCUGAUGAGUUUUUUAGACAAAAAGAUUGCCUAUGAGCUAAUACCAUGAGGACAAUUCCGCUAUCUGUAUUCCCAGAAAACCACUUGAAAUUCUAGGCAAUGAGAGGGAGACUUUUUAAAGUUAAGUGGGAAAAAAGAACAAUUACUCAAGUUGCAGAGAUGAGAAAGCAGUAGUGUUUGUACUGCUGGUUCUUUACUGGCCCUUGUACCCAAGUCUGUUCUGGAUGUACCUCACUUCUGACAAUAAACAUAAUUAGAUGUA